CCCACUCUGAAAAGGUCUCAUGACUCUUGGCAAUACUAGUGUAAGUUUAGCCCAUGAAUGAAUUUACCUGAUCUGAUUAACAGUUCCAAGGGACAGUGGACUCACUAAUCUUUGAGAGCUGGGAAAGCCUUGAGUGGGGCCUUCAUGUUUCUAUCUUUCUGAGUUGAAGAAGGAACUCAUCUUUCAUCUCCAAGUCAAUGGUACCAGUGGCUUCUAUUCCCAGACACAGGGUGUAAUAAUUCAUGAAGUAUUUUUGAGUUCACCUGCAUAUCUGCUCCUUUGGACCAGGGAAAGCUCUAUGAGGAACAUGUUCUUCCCAUGUUCUUAUGCUACAACAGGGCUCAUAUUUUACUGACGGGUUUUAAAAAUAAUGACAUCCACUUCACCAGAGAGAUGCAGAGAACAUCAGCAUAUUCUAGAUGGGCUUCCCCUCUGCAAUUUAUGAUGAAAUCUGACUUCAGGAACCUUCUUCC
rnacentral:lncRNA from 13 species